rnacentral:rRNA from 1 species
CGUGUAGGCGGCCCGGUAAGUCCGCUGUAAAAGUCAAAGGCUCAACCUUUGAAUGUCAGUGGAUACUGCCGGGCUAGAGUCCGGAAGAGGCGAGUGGAACUCCUGGUGUAGCGGUGGAAUGCGCAGAUAUCAGGAAGAACACCAACGGCGAAGGCAGCUCGCUGGGACGGUACUGACGCUGAGACGCGAAAGCGUGGGGAGCGAACAGGAUUAGAUACCCUGGUAGUCCACGCCGUAAACGAUGGGCACUAGGUGUGGGAGGUGUCGACUCCUCCCGUGCCGGCGCUAACGCAUUAAGUGCCCCGCCUGGGGAGUACGGCCGCAAGGCUAAA